rnacentral:ncRNA from 1 species
CUGCGGGGACGACCCCGCCGCCGAAAAGGGGCAACCGGGUGGGGACGACCCCG